rnacentral:rRNA from 1 species
GACGAACGCUGGCGGCGUGCUUAACACAUGCAAGUCGAACGGAAAUGCCCUGCUUUUGUGGGGUGCUCGAUUGGCGAACGGGUGAGUAACACGUUUGUAUCCUGCCCUUCACUUUGGGAUAACUUCUGGUAACUGGGGCUAAUACCUGAUAGGAGCUCCUGCUGCAUGGUGUGGGUUGGAAAGUUUCGGCGUUUGGGGAUGGACUCGCGGCUUCUCAGCUUGUUGGUGGGGUAGUGGCUUACCAAGGCUUUGACGGGUAGCCGGCAUGAGAGGGUAACCGGAGAAAUUGGGACUGAGAUAAGGCCCAGACUAGAACGGGAGGCAGCAGAGGGGAAGAGAGCAAAAUGGGAGGAAGGCAGAUGCAGAAAAGCCGGGUGGGGGAUGACGGCCUUCGGGUUGUAAACCGAAUUAGCCUGUGACGAAGCGUGAGUGACGGUAAUGGGUAAAGAAGCACCGGCUAACUACGUG